ACCAAAGAGGCGAGUCACGAGUUCAUAUGCUAGGACUUAUGAUUUGUCCCAAGCUCGGAGUGGGGAUUGGAGCUCAGAGUGUGAUCGGUUCAAGAACCAAAUGUUGAGUCGGUAUCGUAUGCAUAUAGAGUUGAGUUGUAAGUCCAGCUAAGAGUGAGAACUGUGACGAGCAUGAGUUAAGUCGAUUUUGCAUUGCAUUACAUAAUAAUUGUGCAAAUGAGAUGUUUGUGUAUUGAUGAAUAUUCUUGUAUGACUUGUGUGGUUGGUGAUUGA
rnacentral:lncRNA from 1 species